GACGAACGCUUGCAGCGUGCUUAACACAUGCAAGUCGAACGGAAAGGCCCUGCUUUUGUGGGGUGCUCGAGUGGCGAACGGGUGAGUAACACGUGAGUAACCUGCCCUUGACUUUGGGAUAACUUCAGGAAACUGGGGCUAAUACCGGAUAGGAGCUCCUGCUGCAUGGUGGGGGUUGGAAAGUUUCGGCGGUUGGGGAUGGACUCGCGGCUUAUCAGCUUGUUGGUGGGGUAGUGGCUUACCAAGGCUUUGACGGGUAGCCGGCCUGAGAGGGUGACCGGCCACAUUGGGACUGAGAUACGGCCCAGACUCCUACGGGAGGCAGCAGUGGGGAAUAUUGCACAAUGGGCGGAAGCCUGAUGCAGCAACGCCGCGUGCGGGAUGACGGCCUUCGGGUUGUAAACCGCUUUCGCCUGUGACGAAGCGUGAGUGACGGUAAUGGGUAAAGAAGCACCGGCUAACUACGUGCCAGCAGCCGCGGUGAUACGUAGGGUGCGAGCGUUGUCCGGAUUUAUUGGGCGUAAAGGGCUCGUAGGUGGUUGAUCGCGUCGGAAGUGUAAUCUUGGGGCUUAACCCUGAGCGUGCUUUCGAUACGGGUUGACUUGAGGAAGGUAGGGGAGAAUGGAAUUCCUGGUGGAGCGGUGGAAUGCGCAGAUAUCAGGAGGAACACCAGUGGCGAAGGCGGUUCUCUGGGUCUUUCCUGACGCUGAGGAGCGAAAGCGUGGGGAGCGAACAGGCUUAGAUACCCUGGUAGUCCACGCUGUAAACGGUGGGUACUAGGUGUGGGGUCCAUUCCACGGGUUCCGUGCCGUAGCUAACGCUUUAAGUACCCCGCCUGGGGAGUACGGCCGCAAGGCUAAAACUCAAAGGAAUUGACGGGGCCCCGCACAAGCGGCGGAGCAUGCGGAUUAAUUCGAUGCAACGCGUAGAACCUUACCUGGGUUUGACAUGGAUCGGGAGUGCUCAGAGAUGGGUGUGCCUCUUUUGGGGUCGGUUCACAGGUGGUGCAUGGCUGUCGUCAGCUCGUGUCGUGAGAUGUUGGGUUAAGUCCCGCAACGAGCGCAACCCUUGUUCACUGUUGCCAGCACGUUAUGGUGGGGACUCAGUGGAGACCGCCGGGGUCAACUCGGAGGAAGGUGGGGAUGACGUCAAGUCAUCAUGCCCCUUAUGUCCAGGGCUUCACGCAUGCUACAAUGGCUGGUACAGAGAGUGGCGAGCCUGUGAGGGUGAGCGAAUCUCGGAAAGCCGGUCUCAGUUCGGGUUGGGGUCUGCAACUCGACCUCAUGAAGUCGGAGUCGCUAGUAAUCGCAGAUCAGCAACGCUGCGGUGAAUACGUUCCCGGGGCU
rnacentral:rRNA from 1 species